AGGCGGUCUCUGGGCGCAGAGGCUGAGCUGACUUUGCUUCCUAGGACGAGAGGCUCUGUGCCCGCGAGGAGACAGGUGUCCUGCAGAACGAGCCGCACGGCCACACUCAACUGCAGGAGGAUGAGUCCAGGAUGGCGGGACACCCACUCGGUCUCCGUACCAGCACGUCACAGACAUCACUCUGCAUGAGAAGAUUUCAGAGAAUUCAAACCCAUGUGCCCAGCACAAAGAGCUCUGCGGAGGCAGCUGUGCACCUUGGAAUUCUCCGCUCUCCCGGGGUUGGGUUGAUCAGGUUCGGGGCAUGUGAUAAACCGCUCACUGACCCCAGUUUUUGAAACAAAGAUCUGACUCGUGACAAGCUUCGGGGCUGAACCAGAUGAUCCUGCUUCAUUUACGUUCAGUGUCGUUGUGUUAGACGGCUCUUGGGUGAUUUAACACUGUUCUUUUCUAUGGAAAUUCUAUGAUGACGUGUAACACAUAAGAACGUAUGUGAGGUUAUGCAUGCACAGAGUUUGGGGCCUGAUAGUAAAUGGACACUCACGCGCCACGACCAAGGGCCGCCUGGGAAGGUGGAGGGAAUCCUCGCCGCCUAUCUCCUCAUCUUUCCCUCUCGCUGCCUGACUGUGGAACUCGGUGGGAGCAUCUGGACCCUGCUGUCCGGUCCUCCAGGCACUUCCUGGGUGGCCGCCCGGCCCUGCUUGGGGCAGAGCUCAUGGAAACGGUGGGCUGACCAGACUCUCUGGGGGUCCCUGCACUUCGCUGGGGCCCUUGGUGUGGGAAGCAUUCCCCCAAUCUAGCUGCCAUUGUAUUGUGACAAGGUCUGGCAAUGGAAGGAGAAUCGUGCAAGGCACUUCUCCAGGGAACAUAAUUCUUUAAGCAGAGUCCUUUGUCCUCCUUUCUAAAGCCUAUUACUGAUUAACGUCUUCCCUCUGUCCUGGAAGCCUUGUCAAAACAGGCAGAACUAGCAAUAAACAUAUCUCAAAGAACAAACAGCAGCCCCCAAGGAGGUGGGGGUCUAUAGUCCGUUAAUUGUAUGCUCGCUGCCCUCCUAACUUCUUUGCAGACCCUGAAACUAUGUAACCUCUUCCUAAACAAUCAAUAUGUAUGCUGCACAUCUGGUAUGUAGAUAACCACCUUUGAUUAUUACCUUUAGUCACGACUGCCCCUCAUCUGUUGUUCCCAUGACGACAAUAGUUAGACCACCUCGUGCGAUUUUUUCUAUAUAAGUGUAAUCUGUCCCCGAAAUAAAUUGGACUUGCUUACAACUGC